rnacentral:rRNA from 1 species
AUACAUGCAGUCGAGCGAAUCUGAGGGAGCUUGCUCCCAAAGAUUAGCGGCGGACGGGUGAGUAACACGUGGGUAACCUGCCUGUAAGAUUGGGAUAACUCCGGGAAACCGGAGCUAAUACCGGAUAAUAAUUUGAACCGCAUGGUUCAAAUUUGAAAGAUGGCUUCGGCUAUCACUUACAGAUGGACCCGCGGCGCAUUAGCUAGUUGGUGAGGUAACGGCUCACCAAGGCAACGAUGCGUAGCCGACCUGAGAGGGUGAUCGGCCACACUGGGACUGAGACACGGCCCAGACUCCUACGGGAGGCAGCAGUAGGGAAUCUUCCGCAAUGGACGAAAGUCUGACGGAGCAACGCCGCGUGAACGAUGAAGGCCUUCGGGUCGUAAAGUUCUGUUGUUAGGGAAGAACAAGUGCUAGAGUAACUGCUAGCACCUUGACGGUACCUAACCAGAAAGCCACGGCUAACUACGUGCCAGCAGCCGCGGUAAUACGUAGGUGGCAAGCGUUGUCCGGAAUUAUUGGGCGUAAAGCGCGCGCAGGCGGUUUCUUAAGUCUGAUGUGAAAGCCCACGGCUCAACCGUGGAGGGUCAUUGGAAACUGGGGAACUUGAGUGCAGAAGAGGAGAGU